rnacentral:rRNA from 1 species
UGGGUGAGGAGAGAAUCCUAAGGUGAGCGAGAGAACUAUAGCUAAGGAACUCUGCAAAAUGACUCCGUAACUUAGGGAGAAGGAGUGCUCAUAGAGAUAUGAGCCGCAGUGAAACGGCCCAAGCGACUGUUUACCAAAAACACAGCUCCCUGCUAAGCCGCAAGGCGAAGUAUAGGGGGUGACGCCUGCCCGGUGCUGGAAGGUUAAGGGGAGGGGUUAACGCAAGUGAAGCCCUGAACUGAAGCCCCAGUAAACGGCGGCCGUAACGAUAACGGUCCUAAGGUAGCGAAAUUCCUUGUCAGGUAAGUUCUGACCCGCACGAAAGGCGUAACGAUUUGGGCGCUGUCUCAGCUGUAGACUCGGUGAAGUCUUAGUACCUGUGAAGAUGCAGGUUACCCGCGACUAGACGGAAAGACCCCAUGGAGCUUCACUGCAGGUUGAUAUUGGGAUUUGAUGCAGCAUGUACAGGAUAGGUAGGAGGCAAAGAGAUGGAUACGCCAGUAUUCAAGGAGCCGCUGUUGGGAUACUACCCCUGUUGUAUUGGAUUUCUAACCGGACGACGUAGAGCCGUUGACGGGACAGUGUCAGUCGGGCAGUUUGACUGGGGCGGUCGCCUCCCAAAGAGUAACGGAGGCGCCCAAAGAUACCCUCAGCUUGGAUGGAAACCAAGCGCAGAGUGCAAAGGCAAAAGGGUGUUUGACUGCGAGACCCACAAGUCGAGCAGGGACGAAAGUCGGGCUUAGUGAUCCGGCGGUGCUGAAUGGAAAGGCCGUCGCUCAACGGAUAAAAGCUACCCUGGGGAUAACAGGCUGAUCUCCCCCAAGAGUUCACAUCGACGGGGAGGUUUGGCACCUCGAUGUCGGCUCAUCGCAUCCUGGAGCUGAAGUCGGUUCCAAGGGUUGGGCUGUUCGCCCAUUAAAGCGGUACGCGAGCUGGGUUCAGAACGUCGUGAGACAGUUCGGUCCCUAUCUGUCGUGGGCGCAGGAAAUUUGAGAAGAGCUGUCCUCAGUACGAGAGGACCGGGAUGGACGCAUCAAUGGUGGACCAGUUGUCACGCCAGUGGCAUAGCUGGGUAGCUAAAUGCGGAAGGGAUAAACGCUGAAGGCAUCUAAGUGUGAAACCCACUUCAAGAUGAGAUUUCCCAUUGCGCAAGCAAGUAAGACCCCUUAAAGACGAUAAGGUAGAUAGGUCAGGAGUGUAAGCAUGGUGACAUGUUAAGCGGACUGAUACUAAUAGGUCGAGGGCUUGAC